CCUACGGGGGGCUGCAGUGGGGAAUAUUGCACAAUGGGGGAAACCCUGAUGCAGCCAUGCCGCGUGUGUGAAGAAGGCCUUCGGGUUGUAAAGCACUUUCAGCGAGGAGGAAAGGGUGACAGCUAAUACCUGUCAUCUGUGACGUUACUCGCAGAAGAAGCACCGGCUAACUCCGUGCCAGCAGCCGCGGUAAUACGGAGGGUGCAAGCGUUAAUCGGAAUAACUGGGCGUAAAGCGCACGCAGGCGGUUAGAUAAGUCAGAUGUGAAAGCCCCG
rnacentral:rRNA from 1 species